UACGAAUGGGGCAAGCGUUGUUCGGAAUCACUGGGCUUAAAGCGUGCGCAGGCGGUCAUGAAAGUCAGAAGUGAAAUCCCAGGGCUUAACCCUGGAAUUGCUUUUGAAACUCCAUGACUAGAAUCCCGGAGAGGUUAGCAGAAUUCCGAGUGUAGAGGUGAAAUUCGCAGAUAUUCGGAGGAAUACCAAUGGCGAAGGCAAUCCCCUGGGCCUGCACUGACGCUCAUGCACGAAAGCGUGGGGAGCAAACAGG
rnacentral:rRNA from 1 species